rnacentral:tRNA from 1 species
GGGCGAGUAGCUCAGUUGGUUAGAGCGCGUGUCUCACAUACACGAGGUUCGUAGGUUCGAAUCCUAUCUCGCCCACCA